GACGAACGCUGGCGGCGUGCUUAACACAUGCAAGUCGAACGAAGUGGCGAAGGGGUGAGUAACGCGUAAUAAAGCUGGACUUCAGAGGGGGACAACAGGUGAAAACGACUGCUAAUACAGAAUAAUGAAGGGGGGGAUUGCGUCAGAUUAGCUAGUUGGAGGGGGAACGGCCCCCCAAGGCGAUGAUCAGUAGCCGGUUCGAGGGGAUGAACGACCACAUUGGGACUUGGACACGGCCCAGACUCCUACGGGAGGCAGCCGUGGGGAAUCUUCCGCAAUGGACGAAAGUCUGACGGAGCAACGCCCCGUGAGUGAUGACGGCCUUCGGGUUGUAAAGCUCUGUUAAUCGGGACGCGGUACCGGAAUAGAAAGCCACGGCUAACUCCGUGCCAGCAGCCGCGGUAAUUC
rnacentral:rRNA from 1 species